AGCAUUUAGUCUUGCAGCAAAAAUGGAAAGGGGUCCAGAAACGAGUAACAGAUUCUACGUUCACGUAAUUGAAAUUCAAAAGCAGGGGUAAUCAAGUAAUAUCAAGGUAUCCGUCAGCUGGUAAACCUAAAACCCACUCUUUUUUCAACCAGAGGAGGAGAAGCAAGGAGAAGGAGAGAAGCAACCUUCCUCGCCAUGGCAGAAUCAGAGAAACUGGUGGCGUUGAAAAAAGCAUAUGCAGAUAUAAUAUUGAAUACAGCAAAAGAGGCAGCAAGCAGAGUAAUGGAGUCGGAGCGAAAAGGCCUUCGCUAUCACCACGAUCUCUGCAGUUCAAAAGACGAGGCGCUUCGAUUACUUCUUCGCUUAAAGCAAAUGAUCGAUGCCAAAGCAAUUGAAGCAGAGAUAACAUCCGCAAGCCAACAGAGUAAGAUUGAUGAGCUUGAGGCGCAGCUCCAGGAGGCAGAGGGUGUCAUAAUAGAUCUUAGAGCAGAGUUGAGAUGGGUACGUGAUGAGCUAGAGAAGGUAAGGAACAGCCAAGUCCAACCUUCGAAUGGAGAAGCUGUGAAGGAAAAUGAAUCUUCUCACCAACAUUUAACAUCUGAGCCCAUUGUACUCUCUCUUUCUAAUUUGCCACCUCAAACUGUGGCAACUUCUAAUGUAAAGAGUACACUACUGGAUGAGAGAAAUUUCAACAAGUGCUGCAACACAGAAGAUCAGCAAUUGAGUGUUUCACCUUUGGAGAACUAUUCUUCACGUAAUGCAGACUUAGCCUCCAUUACUAUGGCAAACAAGGAGCCGGAGUUGUAUAGAAAUGGUUGUACGCAGAGAAUUCGUGCAUCUGAAGGAAAUGCGUUUGCUAGCAAAUUGCCUCCUUCAGAUGUAGGAGUGGAGCAGCAAUCACUCAUAAAGAAUGAGGUUAUUGUCAAAGCAAGUAAUGGGGAUGAAGGUAAAUGUACUGAAACUUCUCCCAAGACUAAGAACGUGGGGAAAUUGAACUUUUCAGGGGAAGAAGUAAGAAACCAUGUCAAGGUUUGCUCACCAAGACAGAAAGGGGGGAGGUUUGCAAAAGCCAAAGCUAAGCGCAAGUCCUGUCCCAUUGUCAGAAAACCUUAUCAACCACCUUCAAUUGUUUCUCGUCGUAAGACAAACUCAGUAAAUGGCACUGUUAAAUCUGAUCAACAUUUGUGUACCUUACCCCCUGUCAAGCCUAGCAAUCAGGAUAUGAAAAAGAAUCCCAUUGAGCUGGAAGAAGAAUUGCUGGAAACAAAUGACUGCCUUACUGCUGAAAUGAUUGUUCCUGAAGGGAAAAGACCAAGAACAGAACGAAUUACAACUUCUGGCUCUUCCUCGUCCUCGUCCCCUUCGGUUCAACACUCAGAAUUUUGUCAAAAACCUUUUGUUCUCACUCCUUGCAAAAAUUACUCAUUUUUGCUCCAUGGUAAUGUUAAAUCUGACGAAGACCAGUCAAAGAUAACUGAAAAUGUUGUCAAGCUGAAGCCACUACCUAGCUUGGGUCCUGUUUUAACACUAAUUAGAGGUGGUUUGGAUUCAAUAUGUGGCUCUACAAAUGUUGAAGUGAGUGUAAAGGCACUCUGUGGAUCCGUUGAGGACACUGAUGCAGACAAGGACAUGGAGUUUGUAGAUGAAUUGGCAAAAGAAGAACUCGAUUCUAACCAGAGUCCUAUAGUUCCAAGUUAUGAAUCAAAUGCUCAGAUGAUCAAUGUACCAAUUGUAUUUUCUAAUUUGAAAGAUGCCAAAACAUCCGAAGAAAUUACUGUUAGUGUACCGCUGGUGCCCUCUGAUAUAAAAGUUGCCAAAUCAUCCUUGGAAUCUAAUGUGUUUCCUAGUCAAUCAGACAAUAGGCUUCUUAAAUACACCUUCCAGAGGAAGCACAAGAAGGAAGCUGUGAGCAGCUCUGAUAACAACGCUUCUGGCAAGAAGAACAAAUUAAAAAGGAAAGCAGGGGAAAAGCCAGAAGAUUAACCAGAGCCACAUAAAUCUAGCUUGAUAAAUGAGUCAUCUAGGGACAUUAGCUCAAGCCGCUCGUAAGGUUCGAGCUCUGUGGUUGCUUAUAUGAUGGUCACUGGAGGCUUACAUGGUCGUUAACUUCAGGGUUCAUAGGAUUAGUCGAGGUACGCACAAGCUGGUCCGGAUACCCACGUUAAACUAAAAAAAAAAAAGAAUAGCUGUGUAGCUGGAAGUGCACUCUGAUUUCUGCCAAUAUUCUUACGUCUCUUUCAGGUUCCAAAUAAGCUUCUGCUUUCAUGUUGAGUCAAUAUUAGAAUAUGCACUUUUUCUAGGAAAUGUUGGUGGUAAUGAAACUAACUGUUCCCCGAGCUCAGCCAGGAGAAGGAUGUGGUUCUGAAUUCCAAUGUCUUGUGCCCUUCUUUGGUGAUUAUUGAGAGAAUACUAUUUCAAGAAACCAUAAAAAAGGGCUGCUUGCAUCGCAUGAGAUGUGGAGAUUACCGAUCAGCUACUUGUU